rnacentral:rRNA from 1 species
GAUAAACGUUUGCGGCGUGCCUGAUGCAUGCAAGUCGAACGCCCUGAUUUUUCGCAAGAUUGAUCAGGGAGUGGCGAACGGCUGAGUAACGCGUAAGUAACCUAUCCCGAAGUGGGGGAUAACUUGCCGAAAGGCAGGCUAAUACCGCAUGUGCUGGUAAGCGUCAGUUUAUCAGCAAAGCUUUUGCGCUUUGGGAGGGGCUUGCGUCUGAUUAGCUAGUUGGUAAGGUAACGGCCUACCAAGGCGAUGAUCAGUAGCUGGUCUGAGAGGACAACCAGCCAGACGGGGACUGAGAUACGGCCCUGACUCCUACGGGAGGCAG